GGCAGUGUGGCCUAGUGGAUGGAGCCAUCCCUGUGACUUGGGAGACCUGGGUUCUAAUCCCAGCUCUACCG
rnacentral:tRNA from 1 species